AUUUUUUUUUAAUUGUUUCUUCAGCUUAGGAUAAUUUUCUUCCCUCUUUUAACCUGACCAAUUUCCAAUGACUCUUUAAGUCUCAUUUUAAACGACGCAUAUUCCUGGAAACUUUCACAAUACUGCUCACUUUUUCAUGGCAGUUAGCAUAAUUGGAAUUCUAAGAAUUUGAAAGAUUAUCUGUGAAUAGUUGAUUCUCUGCAUGAGUCAUCUUCAUGAGUAUGUGUCUGUUGUUUUCUGCCAUAUCCUCAAUGCCCAGCGGCCAGCCCACAGUCGGCCCUGACAACCCAAAUCAAGCAGCAUGUCAUUCUUUUUUUUUUUUUGGCCUGGCUUCUUUCACUUAAUGUAUUUUUCAGCUCCAUGCAGGAUGUAUCAGUAGUUCAGUUUAUUUUGGUUGCUAAUACUUGAUAGUUUACUGAUUCACUCACUGAUGGAUGGGCAUUUAUGCUAUUUUUAAUUUGGGGCUAUAUAAAUUUUUACAAAUAUUUGCACAUAUGUGUAUAUAAACCCUUGCAUAUAUAUGUAUAUAUUUGUAUGUAUGUGUAUAGACAUUUAUUACUGACUUACACUCUGGUUUACUAGGCAUAACUUAUAAAAUAAGUAAUUAAUAUGUGUAAUACAUUGGUUAUACACAGAUGAAAAUAUCCCCAAAACACAUAAAAUUAUAUUUAAAAUAUUAAAAUGUUCUAAAAAGGUACUUCUUAAUUUCUAAAAAAGAACUCCUUUUUCUGGUACUCUAAAAAACAGUUAUUAAUAUCGACUAUAUCAAGUAUCUUUCACUUCAAUAUUUAUUUUUUCUUUGACUAGGUUUAUGGAAAUCAGCUGGGGAUUUUUUUUUAAGCAAAGUUUUACGAUUAACUCCGCCUUUUUUCGCCUAAAUAAUACAUCUGGCUUCCAGAUUUCCAACUUCUUAUUCCUACAAGUCACCUAGUCAUUAACUGAAACAUUAAAUUGGUCAACAGUACCAAAUAAAUACAAUAUUAUUUAUUUUUGUUAGACCUACAAAAUAUUUAAAAGGCUAAUACAAUAAUAAAAUAAAUAAACUUGAAUUUUGACUGUAAAACUAAUAGAGCAUGAAACACAGUAUCUUUAAUUUGGAAAUAUAAUUCUCAGGGCAAAAGCAAUUCUUCAGGAAAGUGAGGAAAACAUUGCUCAGAAUCUGCCUUCUGUAAAUAGUCCAGGCGGA
rnacentral:lncRNA from 10 species